UGCUGUUGACGGGAGUCCAGGGAACACACUUUGAGAACUGCUAGCAUACAGUGGAGUGGGAGAUCGUAGGAGAGAUCCACAACACUGCUUUGGGUGGCCUGACCUUCCCUACAAAGGCAAGAGGCGAGCUGGAGCUACCGCUUGUUAUCACAGGAUCUGCAGUCUUCACAGUGCAGGCAUGUCAUCCCAGGAGACCCGGGGGAUCUAUCACUGUCAAACCAGAAGGCUUUUUUUUUUUUUUUUUUUUUAAAUUCUUGCAAACUCAGGGCUUUUUAGAUCUUUAAGGCUGAUCAGAGAUAGAGCACUACAAUAGCUGACUUAAAUCUCAGCAAGUGGGGAGGCGAGGCGAAGCGAGGUACCACGCAUAAAAUAAAGUACACUGACUCUUUUUGGGAAGAUAAAACAUAACUCUUGGUAGGCGCUGCACAAUGAAAGCCCUUGGAGAACAGAGGAGAUCUUUGUCAGGAAUUGUAUCUCAUUUAGCGCCAUUGUUUCGCUGUGUUUCUGGCAGAAUGGAAGUGAUUCAUCUUGCUUUUGUUUCGUGUUGCCUUUUAUUUUUUCCCUGCACAGAAAUUUCUCUUCCAUUAGGAGGGAAGCACUUUUUCUUUUCCCCUCUCUGCACGAAGAUGGCUUUCAUCCUCAACAUGUUCGUGCCCGGCUCUCAAGACCCAAUUCAAUGAUUUUCUUCUUUUUUUUUUUUUUUUCAUUUUGCAAGUGGUGAUUUAGAUAACACAGACAAUACUGCUGUGAAACGAGUUUUAAAAAACAUUUUAAUGAU